rnacentral:piRNA from 1 species
UAAGGGAGAAUGAUAGAAACCAUUAGC